AUUCCAUGAUGUGGGAAUUUCCUUUACAAUUCCUUAAAUCAUUCCCAUGUAUCAUAUAAACACUCCCCAUCUAGUUUAUGGAUGUUUUUAAUCUCUCCUCUUAUUCU